UACGUAGGGUGCGAGCGUUAUUCGGAAUUACUGGGCGUAAAGCGUGCGUAGGCGGUCCGCGAAGUCUGAUGUGAAAUCCCCGAGCUCAACUCGGGAACUGCGUCCGAUACUGGUGGGCUUGAAUCCGGGAGAGGGAUGCGGAAUUCCAGGUGUAGCGGUGAAAUGCGUAGAUAUCUGGAGGAACACCGGUGGCGAAGGCGGCAUCCUGGACCGGCAUUGACGCUGAGGCGCGAAAGCUAGGGGAGCAAACGGG
rnacentral:rRNA from 1 species